AUAAUGGCACAAUGGGUCAGUGCAUCUGGCUGUUAACCAGAAGGUUGGUGAUUUGAGUUAACCCAGAGAUG